UUCCAGAUAUGAUUGCAAUCCUGUUCCCAAGUAUGUGUCUGUAAAUCCAACUGAAAUUCACUGGUGCUAAUUUCAUACACCUGCCUCCUGGAACAGCAUCCCCCCAAGAGAUUCCAACAGCCCUGACCCUGCUCUCUUUUAGAUGAACCUUAAAGACCUGGCUCCUUCCCAGGCACUGGGUUAAGCAUGAAUACUGAAGGUAGCCUUUAAUGGUCAACGCUUCAGUGGUUCGAGUCCAGCCUUCGGGUUAG